rnacentral:rRNA from 1 species
UACGGAGGAUGCGAGCGUUAUCCGGAUCUAUUGGGUUUAAAGGGUGCGUAGGCGGGAUGCCAAGUCAGCGGUAAAAAUGCGGUGCUCAACGCCGUCGAGCCGUUGAAACUGGCGUUCUUGAGUGGGCGAGAAGUAUGCGGAAUGCGUGGUGUAGCGGUGAAAUGCAUAGAUAUCACGCAGAACUCCGAUUGCGAAGGCAGCAUACCGGCGCCCGACUGACGCUGAAGCACGAAAGCGUGGGUAUCGAACAGG